GAACGUAUGGCUUAGUGAUCAGAAGGCUAGGACGGUUUCCAAGAUACGCGGGUUCAAAUCUCGCUACGUUCA
rnacentral:tRNA from 1 species